ACAUUCACGGAGAAGUUGAGCAUGGAGCGUGUUUCAGAGAGAAUGCGAGGUCCGAGAUAAAAAUGAUUGUCGAUAAUUUGUAUUGUUCGAAGAUUGCGAGAAACUUUAGUGAAGCGGUGGUAGUUCGAUCGUUGUAAUCGUAGAUGAUUGUUAUGUGGCAGAGAAACAGUAGCAACAGCGGCAGCGAGAGUAUCGAGUAAUCGAAACGCCGUUCUAUAUUAUUAAACACGUCGUACAACCGAUCGUUCUCAACAGCGUUCUAUCUAUCGCUUCCUAUACCAAAAGUCGUUCCUUGAGGAAAAGAGUGGGCAAAGAAAACUCCGCCAUUGCUCAACGGGUCCGAUGAGUAAACAGCGAUUCUUCCACCGGGACUUAUCUCAACGUAUGAGAAAUGGAAAAGAAAAACAUAAAAGAGUCGACGAGAUUGUCAGGAUUGAAGGAUUGAUAGUGUCAGGGCUUGUGAUUCUCGAAGGAAGUAAGGACGGCCAGAUUAUCGCGAAUGAACGAACUGCAGUGCUCAGGGUCAGAGUUGCUCAGAGGAAAAUUCAUCGAGAGGAGAGAAAAUGGAGUCCCUCGAGUUCAUGUCUCGAAGUAAAAAAAUACUAUGGAAGAAUACUGGACGAAAAACGAUUUGAAAGGGGAAGUCAAGGAAAUGUGGGCGAGGAUGAGAUGUGGCAACAUGGGAAAAAUGGGCAACAAGGGAUACAGGAACACCGAGUGUCGCAUAUGAAUUCAUUUCAUCCCUUAAAUAUGCGAGUGGGCGUACAGAUCGUGGGGGUACAAUAAGGUGACUUUUCUUGUGAUUACUGGAGUUUUAGUGGAAUCAAUUAAUUGACUCUUAGCUGGAAAUAUUCGAAUUCGUAUAAGUGUGACCGGGCCUCGAGGAAAAUCAUUUCAAAAUAAUGCAGCGAGUGUUAAAAAGAUGAGAAAA